rnacentral:misc_RNA from 1 species
GAAAUUCUCAAAGUAAACCUUUUGUUAAUUCAACUGGUCUUUGCUUUGGAUUUGGAGGCCUUUGCAGAUGUCACAGUCUGCUCCUCUUAAAUAAAUUAGCUGGAUCUCAGUAUACACUUGGUUCCACUCGGCGUGAUAAGUAUCACUCGCUGAGGACACUGUUAAAAAGGUGGCCAGGCAAUGCAGAUGAACCGCUUCUAAUAGUCCAUUGACUUGGACAAAUUAAAAAUUUAUGAUCUGAUCUCAAAUCAGGUAGGACUACCCGCUGAACUUAA